GGCUGGUCCGAAGGCAGUGAGUAUCUCAGUUGAUUGUUUGGUCAGUUACAGACCAAACUGCUUGUUCUGCUUCUUCUUCAGCUUCUCACUACUGCACUUCACCAAUCUUAA
rnacentral:Y_RNA from 1 species